AUAUUGCUUUGCGACUGAGAAGUCAUUCCAGGUCCAUUGGACUUCACAUGAACAAGUUGGAUGUAUUGUAUCUCAGAGAACAUUGAUGCCUAUCUUCUAACAGUGAAUGGAUGGAACACAUUGAAGUAAUACAUUUGUAACACUUUUGGUAAGACAACAUCAGCAACAUCACAAGCUGUAAAAAUAUUAUAAAAAAUCCAUGUAGUAUUAUUCAGGAGACAAUAAAUAUAGUACUUGUAAUUAUCACAAGAGAAAAAGUAUGUUAAAAAGACAAAUAUUUUCCAUCUAGCUAAAGAUACGUAAGGUCCACCAAUAUUCUCAUUAUGACAAUAAAUUAAAUUAAUGAUAGUUAAUUGGUUAUUAAAUGUUUUGUUUAGAGGUAAAUGAAGAACACAGUACAAAUAUUUUAACAUAAAAUCUAAGAAGGUCAUGAUAGGCUUACCACCCAUUUCAUGAUGUUUUGUUUGUUUAUGUCAUUCUUGUUGAAACUGUUCUGAGAAGCUAGAGUAGGGUAAUCAUAUAAUGUGUAUAUAUUCCAUUAGUGCAAUUAAUAUAAGCACUUAUUGUUAUGUGGUGCAUUGCACAUGUUCAGUGAAGAAAUUCCACCUUCCCUGGACAAAUGUCCAUACACUAAACAGUUGCAACAUUAAGACCACCUACCAAACAUUGUGUAGGUCCCACUCAUGCUGCCAAAACAGCUCUGAUACAUCAAGGCAUGGGCUCCACAAGACCUCUGAAUGUGCCCUGUAAUAUCUGGCACUAAGUCAGUAGCGUCAGAUCUUUUAAGUCCUGCAGGUUGCGUGGUGGGGCCUCCAUGGGUCAGAUUUGUUGUUCCAGCACAUCCCAUAGAUACCUUUGUGCUACGAAAAACAGCCCUGAGGUGUCCAGGCAUGGAUUUCACAAGACCUCUGAAUGCAUCAUGUGG